rnacentral:rRNA from 1 species
GGAAUUCCGGUUGAUCCUGCCAGAGGCACUSCUAUUGGGGUCCGACUAAGCCAUGCGAGUCGAUGGGCCUCGUGCCAUGGCGGACGGCUCAGUGACACGUGGCUAACCUACCCUCGGGUGGGGGAUAACCUCGGGAAACUGAGGAUAAUCCCCCAUAGGGAAAGAGGUCUGGAAUAAUCCUUCCCCGAAAGCAUAUGCGCCCGAGGAUGGGGCUGCGCCGAAUAAGGAAGUUGGUGGGGAACGGCCCACCAAGCCUACAUCGGAACGGGCCCUAAAAGGGGAACCCCGAAAAUGGGGACUGAAAAANGGCCCAAGGCCCUACGGGGCGCAGCAGGCGCGAAACCUCCGCAAUGCGCGAAACGACCGGGGGGGGACCCCAAGUGCCCCCGAGUGGUGGCCACUUUUAUUGGGCUAAAGCGUCAGUAGCCGGCCCAGUAAGUCCCUGCUUAAAUCCUACGGCUUAACCGUAGANCUGGCAGGGAUACUGCUGGGCUUGGGACCGGGAGAGGGCGGGGGUACUCCGGGGGUAGCGGUGAAAUGUGUUGAUCCCCGGAGACCACCUAUGGCGAGGGCACCCGCCUGGAACGGGUCCGACGGUGAGGGACGAAAGCCGGGGGAGCGAACCGGACUAGAUACCCGGGUAGUCCCGGCCGUAAACGCUGCGGCCUAGGUGUCGGGUAGGCCUCGUGCCUACCGGUGCCGAAGGGAAGCCGUUAAGUCCGCCGCCUGGGGAGUACGGUCGCAAGACUGAAACUUAAAGGAAUUGGCGGGGGAGCACUACAACGGGUGGASCCUGCGGUUUAAUUGGAUUCAACGCCGGGCAUCUUACCAGGGGCGACGGCAGGAUGAAGGCCAGGUUKACGACCUUGCCAGACGAGCCGAGAGGUGGUGCAUGGCCGUCGUCAGCUCGUACCGUGAGGCGUCCUGUUAAGUCAGGUAACGAGCGAGACCCGCGCCCCAUGUUGCCAGUNCCUCUCCGGGGGAGGGGCACUCAUGGGGGACCCUGGCGCUAAGCCAGAGGAAGGAGCGGGCAACGACAGGUCCGCAUGCCCCGAAUCCCCUGGGCUACACGCGGGCUACAAUGGCUGGGACAAUGGGACGCGACCCCGAAAGGGGGAGCGAAUCCCCUAAACCCAGCCGUAGUUCGGAUCGUGGGNUNUAACUCGCCCACGUGAAGCUGGAAUCCGUAGUAAUCGCGCCUCAUCAUGGCGCGGUGAAUGCGUCCCUGCUCCUUGCACACACCGCCCGUCACGCCACCCGAGUUGGGUCUAGGUGAGGCCCUGGCCACUGGCUGGGGUCGAACCUAG